rnacentral:rRNA from 1 species
UACGAAGGGGGCUAGCGUUGCUCGGAAUCACUGGGCGUAAAGGGCGCGUAGGCGGCCUUGUAAGUUGGGGGUGAAAGCCCGUGGCUCAACCACGGAAUUGCCUUCGAUACUGCUUGGCUUGAGUGUGGUAGAGGUUGGUGGAACUGCGAGUGUAGAGGUGAAAUUCGUAGAUAUUCGCAAGAACACCGGUGGCGAAGGCGGCCAACUGGACCAUCACUGACGCUGAGGCGCGAAAGCGUGGGGGAGCAAACAGGAUUAGAUACCCUGGUAGUCCACGCCGUAAACGAUGAAUGCCAGCUGUUGGGAUGCUUGCAUCUCAGUGGCGCAGCUAACGCUUUGAGCAUUCAGCCUGGGGAGUACGGUCGCAAGAUUAAAACUCAA